CACCUUCCAUUUGGGGUUGCCCAUGCUGCCUUCUCCAGAAGUUCAGCCCUGCUCUUGGUAUUGGAAGCAUUCCAGCUGAAGCUACUAUGGAGCUCUUGGCCUCCAGUUUACCAUAUGACUGCAUGCAUUUUGCCUCCAGAAACCCUCUCCUCCCUUCCUGAGGACAUUGCUCCAUUCACUGUGUUGAAAGGCUCCAUCAGGCCUUCCCCAAGAGCCUGCCCAGAUAUUCCACAAAAUCCAGCAAGCAGAUGCUGCAUCCAGCAGUCUGAUCACCACACAGUCCUGUCUGGACCGUGGAUGCCUGAUAGAGCAUCCGUUUUCUUAUACCACUGUAUCUUCCUAAAAACUGGGAUCUGAAGAAUGAUCUCAGUGCAAAAGUGUAUGUGGCCUCAAGCUGUGAGAUCAUUUCUGCCUACCCAACCCAGGAUAAGACUUCCAUCCACAAAGCUUUCCCUCACUUCAGCAGCAUGGGAACUAUAUAAGCCUGGAGCUUUCGAAGAGAAGAUCUACUGCCUGAGAACUCCACGCUCACAGAAGACAACAAGACCCAGGAAGCAACAGCAAACUGAGAGCAGCAACACCAACAAAGACUGUGAAGCACCGGAUGUGUAGUCAUCACUGGAACAGCAGCUUGAUGGGAGGUAGCCAAGGAUGAAGCCCAGCCUGUCUGUAGACAAGGGUCCAGAGCAAGUAGAAAAAGGAGCAUGCUUAUCUGGAUUCCCUUAAAAUCCCUGGGAACCACUUUCUUCAGAGCAGUAGGAUACAAGGCUCUCUCAGACCUUAGCUCGCACAGCCUCCCUCAUUCCUUCAGCACAGAACUCUGCACACAAGCUGUCGUCAGCAAAACCCUUAAUAGCCAUGCUGAUGCACAUAAGAGAUGGAAAGGGGAACCACUGCUUCUUGAGGGGGAGGCAGAGGAAACAGGUGACAUGGUGGGAGGAUGAGCAGUGAGAAAUGGAGAAAUGAGAAAUAUAAAGUUUUCGCUAGAGCUGUGACAUAUAUACCUCUUCUAAGUGUAAUGGGACUAGACGGCAGAGUGGGCAGACACAGCUUUGUGGCCUUUUAAAAGAGGAACAAGUGACAAAUAUGUGAAGAUACUAAACUGAGUAUCAGGUCCUGAGGGCCCUGACUCUCAAGCUCUGGGAGGUGAUUUUAAGAAGCUGCUGGUCCAAGAUGCCUACCCAUUGCCACAGGUUAUUGACCCACCACUAACUUGUCAGAAGUAAUGCUAUGGCCACACCAUAGGCACCAUUUCUUGAUAUAAACUGCAGGAACUGUGCCUAAUUCAGUUCAAUAAGAUGUGGACUGUGGUGGCCAAGGGACUUCAUUCUUUAUCAGGCAUAGCUGAAGAGGUGCCUGACUGAGGUCGGAAACCUGAGUCACCACAGCCUAACAUGACAGGCACCAGAGAGUGCAGGGAGAGCCUUGUUACUAUUUAAGCCAAUUUGUUUGUCUUUCAACCUCCCUUUCUCUGCUUUUCACAAACUCCUUUAAUGUCCAAGCUUGCCGAAGGUAUUGGAGAAGUUUUACAAAAGCUCUGUAAGCAUGUUCUGUUGGUCUGUUGCCUUUUCUUUAGGGAGCUUCCUGCCAGACUGAGUAGCACAGUGGCCUGCAGAGGACAGCAUCUGGUUUUCUACCUACAGGAUUAUUUAAUAUGGAGAAUUCCAAGUCUUACAAUAAAUUGAUCUGGCAACUUUCACUUCAGAAUUACAAGUUGAGUGGUUUCCACUACCAGCCAUGCCUACAGUUCUGAUUAUCUGAGAUGUAUAUUUCUCACAAAACUUAAGCUUCUUUCCAACUAAAGUCUGAAAUGGCUGUGUCAUAUCUGUGGGCCGCUGUCUGCUUAUUGUAAAGCACCUCAUUUAACAAACCUCACUGCCAUUGGAUUUAAAAUGAUGGUGUUCAUGCCCAGACAAGCACCCUGUUUCUUCCAUGAGAGGCUUGGUUACUUCAGAGAUGUGCCAAUUAUGUCAGGGAAGAAUCAUCCCUGCAAAACUCCCCAUGCUGGCCCUAAGCAGAGUAGUAAAAACGGGUCAGUGAAAUAAAAACUGUGAUUUGUCACCAUGUAAGGGCAGGAGGAAUUACUAAAAAGCUCAUUGUGUUCCCUCCUCACCCUCUGAAUCAGUCUGGGUGUUACAGUUCAGUCUGUGCAUUUCAAAAGCAGAAAUUAGUGUUGCCUGAGUAUUCGAGAUGUCAAGGCCACCCAAACAAGCAAUGGAUGUGUCAUUUGUUUGUGAUGCUGUCUACUUUCAGAUUAUUCUCUAAACCAUAUCUUAAGUUAAAAUGAUAGUUUGUUCAUUUUCAGAAUGGGACAGAGCAGGGUUUUGGUGGAUGAAAAGAGAAAAUAAUACUGUUUUUUUUCAGGAAGAGCUUUUUAUUGCUAUUCAUCCAAAGACAGAGCAACUGAGAGCUGGUCAGUCUGAGUGAUUUUCUUAAAGAAAGUAGGGAAUAACAAGUCACAGGAAGCCUGGCCAUGUUUCCAGUAGAGAACAGAUCAUUUGUCUCUUAUUUAUCUAAAGUGGUCAACCAAAAUGGCAACUUCCUUCAGCAAAAAAAGUAGAACUACAUAAAUUUAAAAGUACCACAAGCAGUACAUAACUAUAUAUGCCAUGGAGACUGAGACAUUUCCUACUGACAGUGGAAGCAGAAUGUUUACAUUAUAAUUUAUUCUUGAUGGCUCUGAACGAUAAACGUCAAAACCAAGUGAUCUUAGAGGGAAAUGUAUUCUGGCAGAUUCUCAGUCUGCUCUGAAAAGCAUAUUCAGACUGAAGGAAUUGAUGGAACUGAUAUUUUUCAGAAGUCCUUGGUUUUCUCCUUUCAUCUACAGUUUCUAAAUACAGAUCUGUAAUAUUUUCCUCAUAUGUUCAGAAGGUCGGAAUUUCUCUUGAGAUGACUUCCUAACUUUUUUAACUGCCGCUUCACCCUCAUUACUCAUCUGUCCUGUUAUUUUAUCUUUAAAAGUUUUGAAUCAAGGAGUUAUCUUUGUGAAACAUCUGGUCAAGCAGUUAUACAGUACAAAAGCUCACGUUCAGGGCUCUUUAUCUGGUAGAGAUGAGAGGUGAGUGAGACCUGGCAGUCAGUCGAAAGGGCCUAAGUAUCUGAUCUCCUCCACUCUCCUUUAUACUCUGCCCUAGGAAUGGUUGUGCUUCGGAAUGAGUGCACUUCUUUCCUUUCUGAAGAUUCACUAGCUGUAAUGCUGUAGGAUUCUCUAAGAUGUUAUUUGAGUAUAAAUCACUUCUAAAUCUUUAUAAAAAACUGAUAGAAGAGAGAGCAGCAAGAACAAUAUUGGGAUCUUAGUUUAAAUUCUAUUCACUUUCUGGUUUUCAGUUACCCUCAGUGUGAAGUAUGGAAAAAUACAGAAGUGAAGAAAAUGAUUUUGUUUCAGAAGUGGUUUAUUGUCCAGUGUAGAAGUGGACACAUUCACUCCACAAGAGCUGUGAAUCUGCACUGGUUGUUGAAUCUUACUGGAAUUUUAUUUUCCACCAGUUCUCAGUUCCACAUUUUAUUUCCUUCCUGGCACACCUUUCCUGUGUGCCAUGUACCCAAAUCUCUAACCAAAAGGAACAAUAUGUGAGCCAUGUUGUUUGAAGAAAGAAAAGGGGAGAUGUGAUAGGAACCCUAGAUACAGAUUAUCAACCAGCAAAGCACCCCAGCAACCACAUGCUUAGCCUUGGCACUGCACUGCACUGCACACACUCACCAUUCCUCAGUGAGUUUGUUUAGCUGAAGAGGCCAGAGAUGUGCUUUCCACACAUGGAAGGUCAAGAUCACUGAUGAGUACAAUUGCUCCCUCUGCAGGCACUAAUGAAAAUAAGGCUGGAGGCCGCCUUGCAUUC